GAUGAACGCUAGCGGCAGGCUUAACACAUGCAAGUCGAGGGGUAUUUAUCUUCGGAUAGAGAGACCGGCGCACGGGUGCGUAACGCGUAUGCAAUCUACCUUUUACAGAGGGAUAGCCCAGAGAAAUUUGGAUUAAUACCUCAUAGUAUAUAGACUCGGCAUCGAGAUUAUAUUAAAGUCACAACGGUAAAAGAUGAGCAUGCGUCCCAUUAGCUAGUUGGUAAGGUAACGGCUUACCAAGGCUACGAUGGGUAGGGGUCCUGAGAGGGAGAUCCCCCACACUGGUACUGAAACACGGACCAGACUCCUACGGGAGGCAGCAGUGAGGAAUAUUGGACAAUGGGCGCAAGCCUGAUCCAGCCAUGCCGCGUGCAGGAUGACGGUCCUAUGGAUUGUAAACUGCUUUUAUACGAGAAGAAACACUGCUACGUGUAGCAGCUUGACGGUAUCGUAAGAAUAAGGAUCGGCUAACUCCGUG
rnacentral:rRNA from 1 species